rnacentral:rRNA from 1 species
AGAAUCAACGCUGGCGGCGUGCCUAACACAUGCAAGUCGAACGCGAAAGGGGAGCAAUCCCUGAGUAGAGUGGCAAACGGGUGAGUAACACGUGGGUGACCUGCCUCAGAGUGGGGGAUAACGUCCCGAAAGGGACGCUAAUACCGCAUAACAUCCUGCCUUUAGAAAGGCGGAGAUCAAAGCCGGGGAUCGCAAGACCUGGCGCUUGGAGAGGGGCCCGCGUCUGAUUAGCUAGUUGGUAGGUAACGCCUACCAAGGCUACGAUC